AUGACAGACUUCAUCCUCAUCCUCAUCUUCUUCAUCAGUCACUCUGAAAUAACUCAACUAAUAAUCUACUUAAUGAAGCUGAAAUCAUCAGAGUUUGGUGCAGACGUCCAUCGGUUCUGCUCUCAUUCAAACUCCUGCGUCUCUCAUCGAGUCCCGCUGCACUGAAGAACCCCGCUGGAAUGUUCCAUCAGUUCCGAGGGAGGGGGGGGCGGGAGUCCCGCGGGAAUGUACCAUGUGCUCAGAAGACGGGCGUUGAUUUUGGUUUAAUUUGCGUUAAUAGUUACUAGGGCUGUUCGAUUCCACAAUUUUUGGAAUCGAUUCCGAUUCCAAUUCCUGGUCCUGGAAUCGAUGGGAAUCGAUUCCAAGAAUCGAUUCCUCACUGUUGUUUUCGAUUCUUUUUCAAUUCUUGUUUUUUUUUAUUUUUUUAGAUUAAAGGAACCUAAUCUCAUCAUGAUGACUGCAGGAUAGGUCGUAUAAUGUAUCCUUCAUAUAAUAUGAAGCUUAAAAAAAAAAUAAAAAAAAUGAUGAUAUGAAAAGUUUUGUUUUUUCAGCUUUGCUCGUGAAAUUAGUCAUAGCCCAGCUCAGCAGGGACAUGCGUUUAUCGCAAAUAUUAAAUAAGACAUGAAGUGUCUAAAAGAAAUGUGCACAGUUGAGCUGAAUGAUGAAGUUUACUUUGCACAAUAUUAACAAACUGUACACUUAAAUUAAAUAACCAGAACAUUAAUAACUGAUAGAGCUCAUGGUUUAUCUGUCAAUCAGAUGCGCUCUCGGCCACUGAUCUAUGCUCGUGACGUGUUCUUUUAUAAUUAUCAUUGGCUGAUAGAAAUGUUUUAAAAACAUAGUAUUUUAGAUGGUAAGAUCAAGACCCUCAUUGACGUCAUGAUCUAUUCUGUCAUGAACCGCUCAAAAUUGUGGACAAGCCAGUUCUACCGUAAAAUAACCUCCGAAUCGUUUUAUAUAUAUAUAUAAUAAUCUUUUAUCUCACAACUGUUGUAAUUAAAUGGCUUUGGUGAAUUGUGCUUCUGAAACGGAAGGCUAGCCUACAUCCUAAAAUUCAAUUGAUCAGUACCGACUCGUUUUCUUUCUGUUUUUUUUUUCUU
ensembl:lncRNA